AACGAACGCUGGCGGGAUGCUUAACACAUGCAAGUCGAACGAACAACAUUGGGGCUUGCUCCAAUUUUAGUGAGUGGUAAACUGGUGCGUCACACGUGGGAAUCUACCUAUCAGUACGGAAUAACUUUUGGAAACAGAUGCUAAUACCGUAUAUUCUCGAAGGAGGAAAGAUUGAUCGCGGAUAGAUGAGCCCGCGCAAGAUUAGGUAGUUGGUAGGGUAAUGCCCUACCAAGCCUACGAUCUUUAGAUGGUCUGAGAGGAUGAUCAGCCACACUGGAACUGAGAGACGGCGAAGACGCCUACGGGAGGCAGGAGUGGGGAAUAUGGGACAAUGGGCGAAAGACUGAUCUAGCAAUGCCGCGUGAGGGAUGAAGGCCUUAGGGUUGUAAGGUUCUUUUAGUUGGGAAGAUAAUGACUGUACCAACAGAAAAAGCCCCGGCUAACUCCGUGCCAGCCGCCGCCGUAA
rnacentral:rRNA from 1 species